rnacentral:tRNA from 2 species
GCCACUGUAGCUCAGCUGGUAGAGCAAUGCCUUCGUAAGGCAGAGGUCAGCGGUUCGACUCCGCUCAGUGGCUCCA